rnacentral:rRNA from 1 species
GACAGAGGGUGCGAACGUUGUUCGGAAUUACUGGGCGUAAAGCGCGUGUAGGCGGCUUGAAAAGUCGGAUGUGAAAGCCCUGGGCUUAACCUAGGAAGUGCAUUCGAAACUGCCGAGCUUGAGUUCUGGAGAGGAAGGCGGAAUUCUCGGUGUAGAGGUGAAAUUCGUAGAUAUCGAGAGGAACACCGGUGGCGAAGGCGGCCUUCUGGACAGUGACUGACGCUGAGACGCGAAAGCGUGGGGAGCAAACAGGG